AAGGUCACACAGCAGACAAGUGGCGGAACUGGGAUUAGAACCCAUGACUUCUGACUCCCAAGCCCGAGCUUUUUCCACUCUAUAGCACCUGAUCUCAUGAUCAGGUAACUGAGGCACAGAGAAGUGAAGUGACGUGAUCAAGGGCAGAGAGCAAACAAGUGGCGGCACCAAGACUAGAACCCAGGUCCUCCUGACUCCCAGACCCGUGCUCUAACCAGUGGACCACACUGCUUCUCUAGCCGAUUAUCAAAGGUAUAAAACCCCUACGUAGAAGUGAAAUAAUUUGAUUAUUUCCCCCAAAAUGAUAUUUUAGAGAAGAUUUAGCCCAAAUCAACGGACUAAGGGAAGUGACACAGCAGCAGACCUCAAGGAUACCUGGCAGCUCUCAAACAGCCGCACAGUAGCAGGAACUGAUCACACCAUGAGAACUUCAGCCUUUCCUAUAUCCCAGCUCCGGAGUCAAGCUGCCCAGGUGCUCAGUUAAGAAAGAGCUGCAACAAAAUGCUCCUGUAAAAACAUUCCACCUUACUUAAUCAUGUUACCUUGCAUGUAUAUGUAGUGUAAUGUAAAGACAUCAAAUAAUACAUGGUAUGUGAGAGAUUACCUUGCCUCAGGGCUGCUGAAUGACUGAAGCCAGGCCUGGUGUUAUACCCACUUUUGUGGCUUUUACUAUUAUGUGUACCUUAAUUCAGGAGUAAAUUCUAUGGUGUUGGAAAGGAGAGUAUCUGGUAUACACUGGCACACAGUAAGCACUCAAUAAAUUUGAUUGAAUGAAUAUAUCACUUCCCAUACAUUUGCACAUAUAUCUUAUCUACUUUCGUUUGAAUAGGCCUGGGCUGUCAGAAUGGGACUGAUUGAAAUCAGGAUCUGGAUAAAGGGGGUGUUCCAGGGAGGAAGAGGGGCAUGAAGAAGUAGUACUUGAGAGAGGGGAAACUCCGGGGCGGGGGGGCGACGAGAGAGAGAGACCCUUCCUUCCUAAGGAGAUGAGGACAGUGGGGGAGAAAAGAACCAAGGGAGUCCCAGAGUGGGAUACUAGAAAAAAAGAGAACAGGGAGGAGGAGAGCUAGAGGAGGAGCAAAAUUGAGCAAUUCAAAAUGUAUUUGUCUCCACUCCUGCCCUCCUCUAUAAUGAAGGGGCAAGUGAGCAGUAAAUUGUCUGAAAGGCAUGAAACGAAAACUAGGAGAAGGAGACCCAGAUAAUCUGACUCUUAGUAAUCUGAAAUUGAUGGUGGCUUUUAGUAGUCCUGCAUUUUGUUCAGUUAGUUGUUCAGAGCCACAGAAAAAGAUUUGAGAAACUGAUGGUGAAGAGAGCAUUAUCUCCUUUGAAGACUUUUGCUAAAAUAAAACUAAAGUGGGCUUACAUCAUUUUUAGGCACUCCUGCAUAUUCCAUUUCCUUCUGCUAGUUGCUCAUAACCAAGAAAGAGAUUUGAGAGGAUGAUCAUGAAAAGAGCACUAUAUCCUUCAGACUCUUGUUAUAAUAAAAAUAAAGUAUGCCUUCAUUA